GACGAGGGAUCCUAGCGUUGUUCGGAAUUAUUGGGCGUAAAGCGGAUGUAGGUGGCUUUGUAAGUCAGAUGUGAAAGCCCAGGGCUCAACCCUGGAAGUGCAUUUGAUACUGCGAAGCUUGAGUGUCGGAGAGGUUACUAGAAUUGUUGGUGUAGUGGUGAAAUACGUAGAUAUCAACAGGAAUACCGGAGGCGAAGGCGGGUAACUGGCCGAACACUGACACUGAGAUCCGAAAGCGUGGGGAUCAAACAGG
rnacentral:rRNA from 1 species